UGCUUUUUAGUGACUAUUUUCAGAAAUGUGCUGGCAUUUUGGAGACAAUUGAUGUUUGGGAACCCAGAGACCCACCCUACACCCUCUGCUGCUUGCAUUAACCUGUUUGUGGAUCCCAUGAACCUGCUGCUGUGCACACCACCAGUCUGCUGGUCUCCAGACAGGGGCUCUGUGCCCCGGCACCUGGCCAGCUUGCCCUGAAAACCCUGAGAUGCUCAAGCCCCCUUCACAACAAAGGGGCCUAAGAGGCAGCAAGACCCUGAUUGUUGCGAUAAAGGGGAGAUGUCAGCACGCACCCCAGUGCAAGAACUGUUGUUUACCAGAAGUCGCAGUGAGAGCUUGUCAUGAAAUGAGCACAGACUUCACAGACAGCACUUCUCCGGUCCCACCUGACAGUCCUCCAGCGACCCAGAGCAGCUUCCUGGAGUAAUUACAGUUUGAGUCCUCCUGCCUGCACUCCUUUUCAGCUGCUCGCUUGCUCGCUCAGAGGUAUUCUUCUGAGUAUAAAUGAGUUUCCAGUGAGUAUUGCAGAAUAGGCAAGACCACAGGAAAUGAGUGCCUGGGAGAUCUACAGUUUGAGAUGCUGCUCCAAAUGUAGCUAUUCCCUGAAUUAUUUGGCUCUCCAAGGCCCUGUCUCACUGUCCCUAAACCUGUGGGCCUACAUGGUGAGGAUGAAGGAGGAAGUUGAGCCUCAUAGAAAUGAUGUCUGACUCUUGUGAGUUUUAAACCCUGACCUUUAUCUCAGUAGCAACAGGAUUUAAGGAGAGAAUUCAACAUUACAUUUUACCUUUGAGGUUUUUUUAUAUGACUACAAUGUAAUAACUGUUUUUUUUCUAAUGAAGC
rnacentral:lncRNA from 1 species